rnacentral:rRNA from 1 species
CCUACGGGAGGCAGCAGUGGGGAAUAUUGCGCAAUGGGCGAAAGCCUGAACCAGCCAAGUAGCGUGAAGGAUGACUGCCCUAUGGGUUGUAAACUUCUUUUAUAUGGGAAUAAAAUGUUCCACGUGUGGGAUUUUGUAUGUACCAUAUGAAUAAGGAUCGGCUAACUCCGUGCCAGCAGCCGCGGUAAUACGGAGGAUCCGAGCGUUAUCCGGAUUUAUUGGGUUUAAAGGGAGCGUAGGUGGAUUGUUAAGUCAGUUGUGAAAGUUUGCGGCUCAACCGUAAAAUUGCAGUUGAAACUGGCAGUCUUGAGUACAGUAGAGGUGGGCGGAAUUCGUGGUGUAGCGGUGAAAUGCUUAGAUAUCACGAAGAACUCCGAUUGCGAAGGCAGCUCACUGGACUGCAACUGACACUGAGGCUCGAAAGUGUGGGUAUCAAACAGGAUUAGAUACCCCAGUAGUC